rnacentral:tRNA from 3 species
GCCCUUAUAGCACAGUGGUAGUGCGUUGCACUUGUAAUGCAAAGGUCACUGGUUCAAUCCCAGUUGGGGGCA